rnacentral:rRNA from 1 species
UACGGGGGGGGUAAGCGUUGUUCGGAAUUACUGGGCGUAAAGGGCGCGUAGGCGGCCUGCUAAGUCGAACGUGAAAUCCCCGGGCUCAACCCGGGAACUGCGUCCGAUACUGGCAGGCUUGAAUCCGGGAGAGGGAUGCGGAAUUCCAGGUGUAGCGGUGAAAUGCGUAGAUAUCUGGAGGAACACCGGUGGCGAAGGCGGCAUCCUGGACCGGUAUUGACGCUGAGGCGCGAAAGCCAGGGGAGCAAACGGG